CAAGUUUGCAAGAUAGCCAAGCAGCUGCUAUUGUGAACAGCUGCAGAAGAAGUCAGAGAGCAGAAUGAAAAAAUCACAGGGUGAAGGUGGUGGUCAUUGCAUUGCAAAGCUGAUACACAUAAAAUGCUGCCAGAUAUCUCAAGUGGUUUUGUCAACUUCAGCCAUCUGUUGCCAAACUGUGAGGACUACGUAUUUCUGUGUAAGUGAAGGAGCAAUCCAUCUAACCAUCAUGUGUGCAAGACCAACUACCUAAAAAUCUGUAAGAAUGCAUCAAAAUCAAACUGAAGUCAGAAAACUAACAUUUAGCAACUGUCUUAGAAGUGUCUUUGCAAACGUCUUUACAGUAUGUUAUUUGUACUGUGUGACUGGGAAUAACCAUGAGACUGAAUAGAUACAUUCAGCCUUGUUUAAUCUAAAUAUUCCUUCAUCGUUUCUUCAGCCUGUCUCUACUCUACAAAUGGAAUCCUAUGUUGAGCAAUGAGCUAGGCCAACCGAGUCUCACCCUCAAUCCACAAGCUCAUAGUUGGGGCCACUGGAAUUCAGUGCUUGACUUAGGGAAAAAAUAUUGUGAAGACUAUGAAGUGUAGCUUCAUCAGUUCCCUCCUCCUCUUUUACAGGAAAUGACCUCAACAACUAACUCAUCAGAUAAAGUUAACAAUUUAACUGUACCACCCACCCUUCUGCAACUUAAGGAGUGUCUUUUUGAAAAAAUAAGCUGCCUUCACCCAAAGGAAUGCACGAAUGGAAGCAAUAGUAGGGCUUCUUUGUAAAGAAUCAGGAUUUCGCUCCUUUGCAUUUGCUCACCCUGGCUGCUUGCUUUGUUCGCAGUUAAAUGCUUGGUGCCUCAGGAUCAGACUCAACUUUUGAAUGCCUUUUCUAGCUCUUCCCCCAUGCUCUGCCAACAGGCUGGAUGCCUGUCUAUCCCAUCUCAUCUUCCAUGGCUGUUCUAGAAAAUUCAUUUCUUUGUUUAUAAGAGUUUAUUUUACAUCAGUGAGUGAAAUCACAUCGAAGCCUCUCUAAAAGGGCAACCUUCCAGGAUUGAGAAAGGAUGCGCUGGUGCACAGUGCUUGGUGGUGCUUUCUUUAGAAAAGGACAAAUCAGGCUUCACUAUCUUUUCUUCUUCUUGCCCCUUUUAACUGUUCUGUUCUUGUAAAAUUGGCUUUCCAGGUCAUCUAGUUGUAGGCCUAGUGGGUCACCCUGAUACAAAUCAUUUUAAAAGCGCUAGAUGGCA
rnacentral:lncRNA from 1 species